UACGGGGGGGGCAAGCGUUGUUCGGAAUUACUGGGCGUAAAGGGCGCGUAGGCGGCCUAUUAAGUCGGACGUGAAAUCCCUCGGCUCAACCGGGGAACUGCGUCCGAUACUGGCAGGCUUGAAUCCGGGAGAGGGAUGUGGAAUUCCAGGUGUAGCGGUGAAAUGCGUAGAUAUCUGGAGGAGCACCGGUGGCGAAGGCGGCAUCCUGGACCGGUAUUGACGCUGAGGCGACGAAAGGCUAGGGGGAGCAAACGGG
rnacentral:rRNA from 1 species